rnacentral:rRNA from 1 species
UACGUAGGGUGCGAGCGUUGUCCGGAAUUAUUGGGCGUAAAGAGCUUGUAGGCGGUUUGUCGCGUCUGCUGUGAAAAUCCGGGGCUCAACCCCGGACUUGCAGUGGGUACGGGCAGACUAGAGGUGUGGUAGGGGAGACUGGAAUUCCUGGUGUAGCGGUAGAAAUGCGCAGAUAGUCAGGAGGAACGACCGAUGGCGAAGGGCGGGGUCCUCCU